rnacentral:rRNA from 1 species
AUGAACGCUGGCGGCGUGCCUAAUACAUGCAAGUCGAGCGAACAGACGAGGAGCUUGCUCCUCUGACGUUAGCGGCGGACGGGUGAGUAACACGUGGAUAACCUACCUAUAAGACUGGGAUAACUUCGGGAAACCGGAGCUAAUACCGGAUAAUAUAUUGAACCGCAUGGUUCAAUAGUGAAAGACGGUUUUGCUGUCACUUAUAGAUGGAUCCGCGCCGCAUUAGCUAGUUGGUAAGGUAACGGCUUACCAAGGCAACGAUGCGUAGCCGACCUGAGAGGGUGAUCGGCCACACUGGAACUGAGACACGGUCCAGACUCCUACGGGAGGCAGCAGUAGGGAAUCUUCCGCAAUGGGCGAAAGCUUGACGGAGCAACGCCGCGUGAGUGAUGAAGGUCUUCGGAUCGUAAAACUCUGUUAUUAGGGAAGAACAAAUGUGUAAGUAACUAUGCACGUCUAGACGGUACCUAAUCAGAAAGCCACGGCUAACUACGUG